rnacentral:misc_RNA from 1 species
UCAGUCCAGCCGUCCACAUCGAGGGCUCCAACUCGCUUACCUAUGCUUCCGGAAAUUUCAUCCAUCGCCGUAUCUGCGCUAUGCGCCACGGGCGUCCCACAUGCGAGUCCCUCGACAACCGGCAUUCCGAACCCCUCAUAGAGCGAUGGUGCCAACAGCAACCGCGCACCCUCGUAGAGAUUUCGCAGUUGCGGAUCGGUCAUGUCAUGAACAAAUCGAACCGAUCCAUUCCUGACCAUUGCCUCUGUCGGCUCGGGCAGAUCG